UGGGCAACCUGCCCCUAGCACUGGGAUAACCCCGGGAAAACCGGGGCUAAUACCGGAUACUCCGGUCGAACCGCAUGGCUCGAUCGGGAAAGCUCCGACGGUCUGGGAUGGGCCCGCGGCCUAUCAGCUUGUUGGUGAGGUAACGGCUCACCAAGGCGUCGACGGGUAGCUGGUCUGAGAGGGCGAUCGGCCACACUGGGACUGAGACACGGCCCAGACUCCUACGGGAG
rnacentral:rRNA from 1 species